GGCACGAUGGCUGAGCGGUCUAAAGCGUGAGACUCGGAUCAUAUUGACAGGAAAUAACUCGUUCUAUCUUAUCUCUUCAGAGGCGUCGGUCCAAAUCCGACUCGUGACG